rnacentral:rRNA from 1 species
UACGGAGGGAGCUAGCGUUGUUCGGAAUUACUGGGCGUAAAGCGCACGUAGGCGGCUUUGUAAGUUAGAGGUGAAAGCCCGGGGCUCAACUCCGGAAUUGCCUUUAAGACUGCAUCGCUUGAAUCCGGGAGAGGUGAGUGGAAUUCCGAGUGUAGAGGUGAAAUUCGUAGAUAUUCGGAAGAACACCAGUGGCGAAGGCGGCUCACUGGACCGGUAUUGACGCUGAGGCGCGAAAGCCAGGGGAGCAAACGGG